rnacentral:rRNA from 1 species
UACGGAAGGCAGCAGUGGGGAAUAUUGGACAAUGGGCGAAAGCCUGAUCCAGCCAUGCCGCAUGAGUGAAGAAGGCCUUCGGGUUGUAAAGCUCUUUUAGUGAGAAAGAUAAUGACGGUACUCACAGAAGAAGUCCUGGCUAACUCCGUGCCAGCAGCCGCGGUAAUACGGAGAGGGCUAGCGUUAUUCGGAAUUAUUGGGCGUAAAGAGCGCGUAGGCUGAUUAGUAAGUUAAAAGUGAAAUCCCAAAGCUUAACUUUGGAAUUGCUUUUUAAAAACUGCUAGUCUAGAGAUUUGAAAGAGGAUAGAGGAAAUUCCUAAGUGUAGAGGUGAAAAUUCGUAAAAUAUUAGGAGGAAACACCAGUGGCGAAAGGCGUCUAAUCUGGUUCAAAUCUGACGCUGAGGCGCGAAAGGGCGUGGGGAGCAAAACGAGGGAUUAGAUACC